GCGGCCGUAGUCUAGUCUGGCCUAGGACACUGGCCUUCCAAGCCAGUGACCCGGGUUCAAAUCCCGGCGGCCGCACCA
rnacentral:tRNA from 1 species